GUAGGGAAUAUUGGACAAUGGGGGGAACCCUGAUCCAGCCAUGCCGCGUGGAGGAAGACUGCCCUCUGGGUUGUAAACUCCUUUUAUAUGGGAAGAACCGUCCUCAUUAAUGAGUGACCUGACGGUACCAUAGGAAUAAGCACCGGCUAACUCCGUGCCAGCAGCCGCGGUAAUACGGAGGGUGCAAGCGUUAUCCGGAUUCACUGGGUUUAAAGGGUGCGUAGGCGAAUAAGUAAGUCAGUGGUGAAAUCAACGGGCUCAACCUGUUAACUGCCAUUGAUACUGUGUAUCUUGAAUAUGAGAGAGGUAGGCGGAAUGUUGCAUGUAGCGGUGAAAUGCUUAGAUAUGCUACGGAACACCGAUUGCGAAGGCAGCUUACUAUUUCGUAAUUGACGCUGAGGCACGAAAGCGUGGGUAGCGAACAGGAUUAGAAACCCGUGUAGUCC
rnacentral:rRNA from 1 species